UCCUCUUUACAGAGGCAGUUUGUUCCGAGUCCCCGACAUUACUCGCUGGUAACAGAACAUGAGGGUUGCGCUCGUUGCGGGACUUAACCCAACAUUUCACAACACGAGCUGACGACAGCCAUGCACCACCUGUGUAUCACCUUCGAAAGCGACUGCUUUUCGGCAGCUUGCAGAUACAUGUCAAGCCCUGGUAAGGUUCUUCGCGUUGCAUCGAAUUAAGCCAUAUGCUCCACCGCUUGUGCGGGCCCCCGCCAAUUCCUUUGAGUUUUAAGCUUGCGCUCGUAGUUCCCAGGCGGAUCACUUAAUGCGUUAGCUGCGGCACCGAGGCAAAGCCCCAACACCUAGUGAUCAUCGUUUAUGGCCAAGACUAC
rnacentral:misc_RNA from 1 species